UGGGGAAUAUUGGACAAUGGGGGCAACCCUGAUCCAGCCAUGCCGCGUGAGUGAUGAAGGCCUUCGGGUUGUAAAGCUCUUUUGGCGGGGACGAUGAUGACGGUACCCGCAGAAUAAGCCCCGGCUAACUUCGUGCCAGCAGCCGCGGUAAGACGAAGGGGGCUAGCGUUGUUCGGAAUUACUGGGCGUAAAGCGAGUGUAGGCGGUUGCCGUAGUCAGGUGUGAAAGCCUUGAGCUCAACUCAAGAAAUGCACUUGAUACUGGGUGACUAGAGGACCGGGAGGAGGAUAGUGGAAUUCCCCAGUGUAGUGGUGAAAUACGUAGAGAUUGGGAAGAACACCAGUGGCGAAGGCGGCUAUCUGGACGGUUACUGACGCUAAGACUCGAAAGCGUGGGGAGCAAACAGGAUUAGAUACCCUGGUAGUCCACGCCGUAAACGAUGGGUGCUAGACGUUGGCGAGCUUGCUCGUCAGUGUCGCAGCUAACGCG
rnacentral:rRNA from 1 species